rnacentral:rRNA from 1 species
AGGCGUCCGGACUGGCCCAGAGAGGCGGGCAACUGCCACUCAGGGCCGGAAAGCUCUCCAAACUCGGUCAUUUAGAGGAAGUAAAAGUCGUAACAAGGUCUCCGUUGGUGAACCAGCGGAGGGAUCAUUA